GUUAGAGCAUGCUAGGUUUCUAUCAGACGAGGAUGGGAUCGAGCAUAGAAUUGUGUCUAUUAUAGACUAUCGGAUAAGGAUGAGAGGUCACCCAUUCAGUCCUAGCAGAAUCGAGUCUUGGUAAGGGGGAGUAGGCGCAGAUUGAGCUAAGAAUUGCGGACGGCACCACCAGGAUUGAUCUGCGGGUGAGGUGACUCACGCGGCCACUACCGCUCAGACAAGUAAAAAAAGAAAGGAUGGAUAGUCUUCUGAUCUAUGGUGUGUCUUGCCGGUGUUUUGUCUUUGUUGUCUGCUCUCUCCGAUGACGGACGGGUCCAUUACCUGCUAACUAGAGUCGAUCAUCUUAUGGUCAAUAUGUUCUAGAGGGCCUAUGUAACAUAAAUACAUGGAAGUUUGAGGCAAUAACAGGUCAUAAAGACUUUAUAUGUCCGGGGCGGCACGCGUGGUACACUGAUAUAUACAACAAGUGCCUAGCUAGAUAUAGUAUGGCAAUCUCGAAUAUAUAUCGUGAUGGGGAUAGAUCUAUGCAAUUAUAGAUCUUGAACGAGGAAAUCCUAGUAAGUGCAAGUCAUCAUCAGGCACGAUUAUGUCCCUGCCCCCGUACACCCUCCCGUCGCUCCUACCGAUACCGGGUGAUCCGGGAACAAUGGCCUCAC
rnacentral:rRNA from 1 species